rnacentral:tRNA from 1 species
GGAGGAGUCGGAUAGUGGUCCAUUCCGAGGGUUUGCUAAACCCUUGAGCUGUUAAAGGCUCGCGUGGGUUCGAAUCCCACCUCCUCCG